rnacentral:lncRNA from 1 species
GCCAUCGCUCUCCCGGGCUUAGAAGGCCCGGCUACUGACGCGCAGUGCCAGACCUUACCCCUCACGGUCCUUAAGUCUCGGUCGCCCUCGCCUCGCAGCCUGCCACCCGCGCUCAGCUGCCCGCCUCCUCAGCCAGCCAUGCUGGAGCAUCUGAGCUCGCUGCCCACGCAGAUGGAUUACAAGGGCCAGAAGCUAGCUGAACAGAUGUUUCAGGGAAUUAUUCUUUUUUCUGCACUGACACUUCCUCCAUGGCCCAUCUAUCGCCGGCAUCCUCUCAAGUGGUUACCUGUUCAAGAAUCAAGCACAGACGACAAGAAACCAGGGGAAAGAAAAAUUAAGAGGCAUGCUAAAAAUAAUUGAGGUUUUCAUGAUUCAGCACCUGCUUUUGUUUCUGUGAGAUGAGCUAAAUUGCUUUCAUACCCCAGAUAAGAGCUAAAACCACCUAAUGCUCUUAUGGCACAGCUGUGUAUAGAUUUAGUUCUCUUUAUACUUCAUUUCUAGCCCAGUUGGGUUUUGAUUUAUAUAAGUAGUUUAGACCUUCUCUUCAUAAUCUUGCUCUGAGAUGGG